rnacentral:rRNA from 1 species
CCCUACGGGGGGCAGCAGUGGGGAAUAUUGGACAAUGGGGGGAACCCUGAUCCAGCGACGCCGCGUGAGUGAAGAAGUAUUUCGGUAUGUAAAGCUCUAUCAGCAGGGAAGAAAAUGACGGUACCUGACUAAGAAGCCCCGGCUAACUACGUGCCAGCAGCCGCGGUAAUACGUAGGGGGCAAGCGUUAUCCGGAUUUACUGGGUGUAAAGGGAGCGUAGACGGUGCAGCAAGUCUGAUGUGAAAGGUCGGGGCCCAACCCCGGGACUGCUCUUGGAACUGCAUGGCUGGAGUACAGGAGGGGCA